GACGAACGCUGGCGGCGUGCUUAAUACAUGCAAGUCGAACGAAAAGGCCAUGCUCUUGCGGGGUGCUCGAGUGGCGAACGGGUGAGUAAAACGUGAGUAAAAUGUACUUGACAGUGGGGUAAAUUCAGGAAAAUGGGGCUCAUACCGGGUAGGAGAUCUUGAUGCAUGGUGGGGGUUGGAGAGAUUCGGCGGUUGGGGAUGGACUCGAGGCUUAUGCGCUUGUUGGUGGGGUAGUGGCUUACAAAGGCUUUGAAGGGUAGCCGGCCUGAGAGGGUGACCGGCCACAUUGGGACUGAGAUACGGCGCAGACGCCUACGGGAGGCAGCAGGGGGGAAUAUUGCACAAUGGGCGGAAGCCUGAUGCAGCAACGCCGCGUGCGGGAUGACGGCCUUCGGGUUGUAAACCGCUUUCGCCUGUGACGAAGCGUGAGUGACGGUAAUGGGUAAAGAAGCACCGGCUAACUACGUG
rnacentral:rRNA from 1 species